AAGGAGUCGUCUUCGUAUGCGAGUGUUCGGGUGUACAACCCCUACGCGUAAUGAAAGUGAACGUAGGUGAGAGCUUCGGCGCAUCACCGACCGAUACUGAUGUUCUCGGAUGGAUUUGCGGAAGAGCAUACGGGGCCGGACCCGAAAGAAGGUGAACUAUGCCUGUAUAGGGUGAAGCCAGAGGAAACUCUGGUGGAGGCUCGCAGCGGUUCUGACGUGCAAAUCGAUCGUCAAAUAUGGGCAUAGGGGCGAAAGACUAAUCGAACCUUCUAGUAGCUGGUUCCCGC
rnacentral:misc_RNA from 1 species